rnacentral:lncRNA from 1 species
UUUCGUUGUAUGGCGUGCUCGUUUGGGUUGGGCGUCGGCUAAGAGUGCUCGGAGCGUGGAUUAACUCCAGUCUCCUAUCAGGUGUGUAUUUCUCACUACUCUAGCUGUAAGAUGGCUACUUCGGGCCGCGAUGGGCCGAAAGGGGCUAUGUGGGCCCAAUGGGCCUACGGGCCCAAUUGGAUAAGUUGUUUGAUGGUGUAGUAAAUAUUUGACUAGGCUAGGUGAAUCUCAUAUUCGUGGCUAGAUUUGGGCUAAAAGGGCCACACGAGCGUGUGGGCCCAUUUGGGCCGAGAAUGGGCUUUAGGGCCAUUUGUAUUGUUAUCCCUGUUUAGAAUACUUUAGUUUACCAAUUAUUGAAAUACCCUCGACUUGUAAAAUUACCAAAGUACCCUCGAUUUAUAGAAUUAUCGUUUUACCCUCGAUUUAAAAAAUUACCAUUUUACCCUCAGUUACAAAAUUACCGUUUUACCCUCGAUUGUGAAAUUACUGAAAUACCCCUGUAGGAUAGAAUUACCAAAAUACCCCUAGUUUGUAAAAUUACCAAAAUACCCCUAGUUUGUAAAAUUAUCGAAAUACCAUUGGUUUGUGAAAUUACCAAAAUACCCUCAAUUUGUAAAAUUACCAAAAUACCCUUGAUUUACAAAAUUACAAAAAUACCCUUGGUUUGUAUAUUUACCAAAACACCCUUGUAGGAUGAAAUGACUAAAAUACCCCUAAUAGGUAAAAAGACCGUAAAUUCCGUGUAGGGUAAAGUGACCAUAAUACCCUUGUAUGGUAAAAUGACGAAUAUGCCCUUAUGUUCCGUAUGACUGAUGUGCUUAGGAUUUACAUAUAUUGAUAUUGGAUUAGUUAAGUUUGAGUGACAAGUGGUGGUUAUCGUAGGUGAUUGAUUAUGGAAACGUUUCAACUUCAACCCAUAAUAGGUGUGUACUAACCCUCGUAGUAGCUCAGAUUAAUAUCUGCUGAGAAGCUGAAAUGCUAAAAUACCGGUAUUUCGGGAACCUGUAAUGUUGCGUGUGGGUAUAGAUGCGAUAAAUACGAUAAGAUCGGUGUUUGGAUCGAUG